ensembl:misc_RNA 7SK 7SK RNA
UCCCUGCCACUUGCUUCAAGCUUGGUCAAAGAAGACAAUCUUCCUUGACAGAGGAGGAGCUUUCUUUGCCCAGUGUACACAAGUAGUUGUGUUCCCUGAACAGAACCUCCAAACAAGCUCUAAAGGCCCACAGCAGCAUUAUUCACAAUAAUC